UACGUAGGGGGCAAGCGUUGUCCGGAUUUAUUGGGCGCAAAGAGCGUGUAGGCGGCCUGACAGGUCUGCUGUGAAAACUCGAGGCUCAACCUCGAGAUGUCGGCGGAAACCAUCUGGCUAGAGUCCGGAAGAGGAGAGUGGAAUUCCUGGUGUAGCGGUGAAAUGCGCAGAUAUCAGGAAGAACACCCGUGGCGAAGGCGGCUCUCUGGGACGGUACUGACGCUGAGACGCGAAAGCGUGGGGAGCGAACAGG
rnacentral:rRNA from 1 species